CACAUCGUCGCCCUCCACCUCGGACCGUGAAGGGAUCGCGGGCGUUGGGUCGGAUAUUGGCCCCCCGUGCGCCUCGACGCGCGGCCGCCCCAAAUGUGAUUCGGCAUCGACGCGUGCCGCGACGAUUGGUGGUUGAAGAACUCAACUCGCGCGUUGUCGCGGCGUCGUUCGGCCCGAACGUGUAGACCCCGUCGGUGCAUCACACCUCGACAGCG
rnacentral:misc_RNA from 1 species